AUGCAGCCCAAAGCGGGUGGUAAACUCCAUCUAAAGGCUAAAUACGGUCACGAGACCGAUAGCGAACAAGUACCGUGAGGGAAAGUUGAAAAGCACUUUGGAGAGAGAGUUAAAAAGUACGUGAAACCGUCGAGAGGCAAACGGGAGGGCCUGUCGGGUCGUUCGGUCGCUUUCAGGCGGGCCGGAGACCGGGUCGCGGGAUCGGGGACCUUCGCGGGCCUCGACUCGCGUCGCCGGCCGACGGCUCGGCGCACUAGCGUCGGACGAGGGCCGCGACCGGCUGGGCGGCGGGCAAACGGCUCCGGGCAAGGUAACCCCGCUUCGGCGGGGUGCUACAGGCCCGGUGCGCGCAAGGGUCGCCGCCCGGUCGAGGAGAGAUGCGCGCCGCACCUGCCCCGUUCGCGGGGCCGGGGAAGCCGUUCGAGCAGCGUCGUGUCGCGGUCCGGGACUGUCCUCAGUCCCGGGUCGUCUCGGCGCGGUUCCGAGCGGUCGCUCCCUCGCGAGGUGCCGCGGGUCAGCGGCUGACGCCAGCCACCUUCCCGACCCGUCUUGAAACACGGACCAAGGAGUCUAACAUGUGCGCGAGCCGCGGGGCAGUACGAAACCCGUAAGGCGAAAUGAAGGUGAACGCCGGCGCGGUCCGGCGGAGGUUGGAUCCCGUCCCGUCGGGGCGGGCGCACUACCGGCCGAUCUUCUCGCCCUGUCGGCGAGGUCGAGCGAGAGCGUGCAAGUCGGGACCCGAAAGAUGGUGAACUAUGCCUGAGGAGGUUGAAGC
rnacentral:ncRNA from 1 species